rnacentral:lncRNA from 1 species
CAAAGUUACACCCCCCUCCCCCCGCCCCCCAAGAAAAAGCAAUCUCUCAUUUCCAGAUCUGAAAACUAGAAUUCAAAAUCUAAAAACCAAAAAAAUCAAAAAUAGAAGAAAAAAUAAUAAUUUACUGUUCCAUUGAAAUUAGAGACUGAUUUCAGUUUUUGUUUGUCGUUUCACAUUCUGUAGUUGCUAUCGUUGCUUGUUGAUGUGUAGAGGUUCAAUUCAAAUGCAAUUGAAUAAAAUUAAGUGGGUUUUUGGCUGAGCUUUCCACUAGUGAAGUUUCAUAAGGAUUUUAAGUUCAGUUUUGAAUUAUUUUGGGAGAUUUCAAGUUGAAGUUAGUAUUCUGAAUCUAGUAUGGGUGUUUUGCUGGUUAUCUAUGCAUUGUUGUUCAUUUCUGGGUUGGUUUGCUACUAUGUAGAGUUGAUCUAUUAGUUUUCUGUUUUAUUUGAACACUUCCGGACUACUUGAUUUUUGUUACUGGGCUAUUUGUGAUUUAUCACUGAUUGCAGUUGAAUCCUCUUCUCCUUCAUUACUUUUUACUUCCAGCUACCUCCCUUGAUCUCCUGUAUGUUGUGAUGGAUCCUUGUAACUCAAUUUGAAGGAUAAAUGAAGUGAAGAGUGGCUUCAAGUGGGUUGUCAAAUUCAUUCAAUUGUGUUUUAGUUUUAAUGUGUUAGAACAAUCAUGUUUAAUUGAUAAUUAGUGUUUUGUAAUAAGUGGACUGUGUGACUAUUAUUUUCCAAUUCAUGUUAUGAACUGAAGGUCUAGUCUAGUUUCAGUAGUUCAGUAAUUGUAUCAAGCUGUCGAGCCCAGUUUUGUGAGACGUUUGCCUUUAGUUGGAAAAACUCCUAGUCUAUCCAGUCCAGGAACCAACGACCUUUUCCAUGAGGUCUGACCAAUUUAAUAUGCCUGGGUCACACGAUUUGGGUUGUUUGGGGCCUGGAACUUAAAUGGGAAUUGGGAUUUUCACAAGCCUGGUUCACUGGGCCAGCAGUCACGAAAUA